GUGGGGAAUAUUGCGCAAUGGGGGCAACCCUGACGCAGCAAUACCGCGUGAGUGAAGAAGGUUUUCGGAUCGUAAAACUCUUUUAUUGGGGAAGAAGAAGUGACGGUACCCAAUGAAGAAGUCCCGGCUAACUACGUGCCAGCAGCCGCGGUAAUACGUAGGGGACAAGCGUUGUCCGGAAUCACUGGGCGUAAAGGGCGCGUAGGCGGUUUUAUAAGUCAGAUGUGAAAGGUACCGGCUCAACCGGUGACGUGCAUUUGAAACUGUAAGACUUGAGUACUGGAGAGGCAAGUGGAAUUCCUAGUGUAGCGGUGAAAUGCGUAGAUAUUAGGAGGAACACCGGUGGCGAAGGCGGCUUGCUGGACAGAUACUGACGCUGAGGUGCGAAAGCGUGGGGAGCGAACAGGAUUAGAAACCCGAGUAGUCC
rnacentral:rRNA from 1 species